rnacentral:rRNA from 1 species
GCAAGUCGAACGGCAGCACGGGGGCAACCCUGGUGGCGAGUGGCGAACGGGUGAGUAAUACAUCGGAACGUGUCCUGUAGUGGGGGAUAGCCCGGCGAAAGCCGGAUUAAUACCGCAUACGAUCUACGGAAGAAAGCGGGGGAUCUUCGGACCUCGCGCUAUAGGGGCGGCCGAUGGCAGAUUAGCUAGUUGGUGGGGUAAAGGCCUACCAAGGCGACGAUCUGUAGCUGGUCUGAGAGGACGACCAGCCACACUGGGACUGAGACACGGCCCAGACUCCUACGGGAGGCAGCAGUGGGGAAUUUUGGACAAUGGGGGCAACCCUGAUCCAGCAAUGCCGCGCGUGUGAAGAAGGCCUUCGGGUUGUAAAGCACUUUUGUCCGGAAAGAAAACCUCUUGGUUAAUACCUGAGGGGGAUGACGGUACCGGAAGAAUAAGCACCGGCUAACUACGUGCCAGCAGCCGCGGUAAUACGUAGGGUGCGAGCGUUAAUCGGAAUUACUGGGCGUAAAGCGUGCGCAGGCGGUCUGUUAAGACCGAUGUGAAAUCCCCGGGCUUAACCUGGGAACUGCAUUGGUGACUGGCAGGCUUUGAGUGUGGCAGAGGGAGGUAGAAUUCCACGUGUAGCAGUGAAAUGCGUAGAGAUGUGGAGGAAUACCGAUGGCGAAGGCAGCCUCCUGGGCCAACACUGACGCUCAUGCACGAAAGCGUGGGGAGCAAACAGGAUUAGAUACCCUGGUAGUCCACGCCCUAAACGAUGUCAACUAGUUGUUGGGGAUUCAUUUCCUUAGUAACGUAGCUAACGCGUGAAGUUGACCGCCUGGGGAGUACGGUCGCAAGAUUAAAACUCAAAGGAAUUGACGGGGACCCGCACAAGCGGUGGAUGAUGUGGAUUAAUUCGAUGCAACGCGAAAAACCUUACCUACCCUUGACAUGGUCGGAAGUCUGCUGAGAGGUGGACGUGCUCGAAAGAGAACCGGCGCACAGGUGCUGCAUGGCUGUCGUCAGCUCGUGUCGAGAGAUGUUGGGUUAAGUCCCGCAACGAGCGCAACCCUUGGCCUUAGUUGCUACGCAAGAGCACUCUAAGGAGACUGCCGGUGACAAACCGGA